AGAGUUUGAUCCUGGCUCAGGACGAACGCUGGCGGCACGCUUAACACAUGCAAGUCGAACGAGAGAAGAGGAGCUUGCUUUUCUGAUCUAGUGGCGGACGGGUGAGUAACACGUGAGCAAUCUGCCUUUCAGAGGGGGAUACCGAUUGGAAACGAUCGUUAAUACCGCAUAACAUAAUUGAACCGCAUGAUUUGAUUAUCAAAGAUUUAUCGCUGAAAGAUGAGCUCGCGUCUGAUUAGCUAGUUGGUAAGGUAACGGCUUACCAAGGCGACGAUCAGUAGCCGGACUGAGAGGUUGAUCGGCCACAUUGGGACUGAGACACGGCCCAGACUCCUACGGGAGGCAGCAGUGGGGAAUAUUGCACAAUGGAGGAAACUCUGAUGCAGCGAUGCCGCGUGAGGGAAGAAGGUUUUAGGAUUGUAAACCUCUGUCUUCAGGGACGAAAAAAGACGGUACCUGAGGAGGAAGCUCCGGCUAACUACGUGCCAGCAGCCGCGGUAAUACGUAGGGAGCGAGCGUUGUCCGGAAUUACUGGGUGUAAAGGGAGCGUAGGCGGGAUCGCAAGUCAGAUGUGAAAACUAUGGGCUUAACCCAUAAACUGCAUUUGAAACUGUGGUUCUUGAGUGAAGUAGAGGUAAGCGGAAUUCCUAGUGUAGCGGUGAAAUGCGUAGAUAUUAGGAGGAACAUCAGUGGCGAAGGCGGCUUACUGGGCUUUAACUGACGCUGAGGCUCGAAAGCGUGGGGAGCAAACAGGAUUAGAUACCCUGGUAGUCCACGCCGUAAACGAUGAUUACUAGGUGUGGGGGGACUGACCCCUUCCGUGCCGCAGCAAACGCAAUAAGUAAUCCACCUGGGGAGUACGACCGCAAGGUUGAAACUCAAAGGAAUUGACGGGGGCCCGCACAAGCAGUGGAAUAUGUGGAUUAAUUCGAAGCAACGCGAAGAACCUUACCAGGUCUUGACAUCGUAUGCAUAGCUCAGAGAUGAGUGAAAUCUCUUCGGAGACAUAUAGACAGGUGGUGCAUGGUUGUCGUCAGCUCGUGUCGUGAGAUGUUGGGUUAAGUCCCGCAACGAGCGCAACCCUUACUGUUAGUUGCUACGCAAGAGCACUCUAGCAGGACUGCCGUUGACAAAACGGAGGAAGGUGGGGAUGACGUCAAAUCAUCAUGCCCCUUAUGACCUGGGCCUCACACGUACUACAAUGGCUGUCAACAGAGGGAAGCAAAGCCGCGAGGUGGAGCGAACCCCUAAAAGCAGUCUUAGUUCGGAUUGUAGGCUGCAACCCGCCUACAUGAAGUCGGAAUUGCUAGUAAUCGCAGAUCAGCAUGCUGCGGUGAAUACGUUCCCGGGCCUUGUACACACCGCCCGUCACGCCAUGGGAGUCGGUAACACCCGAAGCCUGUAGUCUAACCGCAAGGAGGACGCAGUCGAAGGUGGGAUUGAUGACUGGGGUGAAGUCGUAACAAGGUA
rnacentral:rRNA from 1 species